GACGAACGCUGGCGGCGUGCUUAACACAUGCAAGUCGAACGGAAAGGCCCUGCUUUUGUGGGGUGCUCGAGUGGCGAACGGGUGAGUAACACGUGAGUAACCUGCCCUUGACUUUGGGAUAACUUCAGGAAACUGGGGCUAAUACCGGAUAGGAGCUCCUGCUGCAUGGUGGGGGUUGGAAAGUUUCGGCGGUUGGGGAUGGACUCGCGGCUUAUCAGCUUGUUGGUGGGGUAGUGGCUUACCAAGGCUUUGACGGGUAGCCGGCCUGAGAGGGUGACCGGCCACAUUGGGACUGAGAUACGGCCCAGACUCCUACGGGAGGCAGCAGUGGGGAAUAUUGCACAAUGGGCGGAAGCCUGAUGCAGCAACGCCGCGUGCGGGAUGACGGCCUUCGGGUUGUAAACCGCUUUCGCCUGUGACGAAGCGUGAGUGACGGUAAUGGGUAAAGAAGCACCGGCUAACUACGUGCCAGCAGCCGCGGUGAUACGUAGGGUGCGAGCGUUGUCCGGAUUUAUUGGGCGUAAAGGGCUCGUAGGUGGUUGAUCGCGUCGGAAGUGUAAUCUUGGGGCUUAACCCUGAGCGUGCUUUCGAUACGGGUUGACUUGAGGAAGGUAGGGGAGAAUGGAAUUCCUGGUGGAGCGGUGGAAUGCGCAGAUAUCAGGAGGAACACCAGUGGCGAAGGCGGUUCUCUGGGCCUUUCCUGACGCUGAGGAGCGAAAGCGUGGGGAGCGAACAGGCUUAGAUACCCUGGUAGUCCACGCUGUAAACGGUGGGUACUAGGUGUGGGGUCCAUUCCACGGGUUCCGUGCCGUAGCUAACGCUUUAAGUACCCCGCCUGGGGAGUACGGCCGCAAGGCUAAAACUCAAAGGAAUUGACGGGGCCCCGCACAAGCGGCGGAGCAUGCGGAUUAAUUCGAUGCAACGCGUAGAACCUUACCUGGGUUUGACAUGGAUCGGGAGUGCUCAGAGAUGGGUGUGCCUCUUUUGGGGUCGGUUCACAGGUGGUGCAUGGCUGUCGUCAGCUCGUGUCGUGAGAUGUUGGGUUAAGUCCCGCAACGAGCGCAACCCUUGUUCACUGUUGCCAGCACGUUAUGGUGGGGACUCAGUGGAGACCGCCGGGGUCAACUCGGAGGAAGGUGGGGAUGACGUCAAGUCAUCAUGCUCCUUAUGUCCAGGGCUUCACGCAUGCUACAAUGGCUGGUACAGAGAGUGGCGAGCCUGUGAGGGUGAGCGAAUCUCGGAAAGCCGGUCUCAGUUCGGAUUGGGGUCUGCAACUCGACCUCAUGAAGUCGGAGUCGCUAGUAAUCGCAGAUCAGCAACGCUGCGGUGAAUACGUUCCCGGGGCU
rnacentral:rRNA from 1 species